UUCGGCUAUCACUUCUGGAUGGUCCCGCGGCGCAUUAGCUAGUUGGUGGGGUAACGGCCCACCAAGGCGAUGAUGCAUAGCCGACCUGAGAGGGUGAUCGGCCACAUUGGGACUGAGACACGGCCCAUACUCCUACGGGAGGCAGCAGUAGGGAAUCUUCCACAAUGGACGCAAGUCUGAUGGAGCAACGCCGCGUGAGUGAAGAAGGGUUUCGGCUCGUAAAACUCUGUUGUUAAAGAAGAACACGUAUGAGAGUAACUGUUCAUCCCUUGACGGUAUUUAACCAGAAAGCCACGGCUAACUACGUGCCAGCAGCCGCGGUAAUACGUAGGUGGCAAGCGUUGUCCGGAUUUAUUGGGCGUAAAGCGAGCGCAGGCGGUUUUUUAAGUCUGAUGUGAAAGCCUUCGGCUUAACCGGAGAAGUGCAUCGGAAACUG
rnacentral:rRNA from 1 species